CCUACGGGUGGCAGCAGUGGGGAAUAUUGGGCAAUGGGCGCAAGCCUGACCCAGCAACGCCGCGUGCAGGAAGAAGGCUUUCGGGUUUUUAACUUCUUUUCUGAGGGACGAAGAAGGUCACGGUACCUCAGGAAUAAGCCACGGCUAACUACGUGGCAGCAGCCGCGGUAAUACGGAGGUGGCAAGCAUUAUCCGGAUUUAUUGGGUGUAAAGGGUGUGUAGGCGGGAAAGCAAGUCAGAUGUGAAAACUCAGGGCUCAACCCUGAGCCUGCAUUUGAAACUGUUUUGCUUGAGUGCUGGAGAGGCAAUCGGAAUUCCGGGGGUAGCGGUGAAAUGCGUAGAUAUACGGAGGAACACCAGUGGCGAAGGCGGAUUGCUGGACAGUAACUGACGCUGAGGCGCGAAAGCGUGGGGAGCAAACAGGAUUAGAUACCCCUGUAGUC
rnacentral:rRNA from 1 species